AUUGAACGCUGGCGGCAGGCCUAACACAUGCAAGUCGAGCGAGCGGCGGACGGGUGAGUAAUGUCUGGGAGACUGCCCGAUGUAGGGGGGUAACUACUGGAAACGGUGGCUAAUACCGCAUACCAUCAGAUGUGCCCACAUGGGAUGAGCUAGUAGGUGGGGUAACGGCGCACCGAGGCGACGAUCCCUAGCUGGUCUGAGAGGAUGACCAGCCACACUGGAACUGAGACACGGUCCAGACUCCUACGGGAGGCAGCAGUGGGGAAUAUGGCACAAUGGGCGCAAGCCUGAGGCAGCCAUGCCGCGUGUAUGAAGAAGGCCUUAGGGUUGUAAAGCACUUUCAGCGGGGAGGCGUUACCCGCAGAAGAAGCACCGGCUAACUCCGUGCCAGCAGCCGCGGUAAUAC
rnacentral:rRNA from 1 species